AGAGUUUGAUCCUGGCUCAGGACGAACGCUGGCGGCGUGCCUAACACAUGCAAGUCGAACGGAAGUUAGAGCUUCGGUUUUAACUUUAGUGGCGAACGGGUGAGUAACGCGCGAAGAACCUGCCUUCCAGUGGGGGACAACAGUUGGAAACGACUGCUAAUACCGCAUGAAACUUUCGAAGGGCAUCCUUUGAAAGUCAAAGCUUUAUGUGCUGGAAGAUGGCUUCGCGUCUGAUUAGCUAGAUGGCGGGGUAACGGCCCACCAUGGCGACGAUCAGUAGCCGGUCUGAGAGGAUGAACGGCCACAUUGGGACUGAGAUACGGCCCAGACUCCUACGGGAGGCAGCAGUGGGGAAUAUUGGGCAAUGGGGGAAACCCUGACCCAGCAACGCCGCGUGAAGGAAGAAGGCCUUCGGGUUGUAAACUUCUUUUACCAGGGACGAAGGACGUGACGGUACCUGGAGAAAAAGCAACGGCUAACUACGUGCCAGCAGCCGCGGUAAUACGUAGGUUGCAAGCGUUGUCCGGAUUUACUGGGUGUAAAGGGCGUGUAGGCGGAGAUGCAAGUCGGGAGUGAAAUCCAUGGGCUCAACCCAUGAACUGCUUUCGAAACUGUAUCCCUUGAGUAUCGGAGAGGCAAGCGGAAUUCCUAGUGUAGCGGUGAAAUGCGUAGAUAUAUGGAAGAACACCAGUGGCGAAGGCGGCUCUCUGGUCUGCAACUGACGCUGAGGCUCGAAAGCAUGGGUAGCGAACAGGAUUAGAUACCCUGGUAGUCCAUGCCGUAAACGAUGAGUGCAAAUUGUUGGGAGGUUUCCCCCUUUUACUGCUGCACCCUAACCUCAUUUAACCACCCCGCCUGGGGGAGUACGACCGCCAAGGUUGAAACUCAAAAGGAAUUGACGGGGGCCCGCACAAGCGGUGGAGCAUGUGGUUUAAUUCGAAGCAAACGCGAAGAACCUUACCAGGUCUUGACAUCUAGUGCAAUCUGUAGAGAUACGGAGUUCCCUUCGGGGACGCUAAGACAGGUGGUGCAUGGCUGUCGUCAGCUCGUGUCGAGAGAUGUUGGGUUAAGUCCCGCAACGAGCGCAACCCUUGUUAUUAGUUGCCAGCAUUAAGUUGGGCACUCUAAUGAGACUGCCGGUGACAAACCGGAGGAAGGUGGGGAUGACGUCAAGUCAUCAUGCCCCUUAUGACCUGGGCUACACACGUGCUACAAUGGGCAGUACAACGAGAAGCAAGCCUGCGAAGGCAAGCGAAUCUCUGAAAGCUGUUCUCAGUUCGGACUGCAGUCUGCAACUCGACUGCACGAAGCUGGAAUCGCUAGUAAUCGCGGAUCAGCACGCCGCGGUGAAUACGUUCCCGGGCCUUGUACUCACCGCCCGUCA
rnacentral:rRNA from 1 species